AAAAAAAAAUAAAAAUCCAAGCUCUCCGCUCUCCAGUCUCUAGCUAUCCGAAAAAGGAGGAAUUGCAUGCAUCGAUUUAGCGGCAGCAAUAAUUAAAAUUAAAUUAAAUUAAAAGAAAAAUGGCUCAAUUGCUGUCUUCUGUGUGCACGGAUGUUCUUAAGAUUCAAAACCCAUUGAUUAAAAUUGGUUCAAGAUUGCUUCCAAAGACCAACACCGCUACUCCUUGGAGUUGGAAUUGGAAGCGAAGAUCAUCAUCAGGCUUUGGCAGACACAGGGUUGCAACUAAUGAAUCGCCGCCGGUGGCCGAUGACUAUUAUGCUGUUCUGGGUCUGCUUCCAGAUGCCACACCGAAGCAGAUUAAGCAAGCCUAUUAUAAUUGCAUGAGAGAAUGUCAUCCAGACUUGAGUGGGAAUGACCCUGAAACCACAAAUUUCUGCAUGUUCAUUAAUGAGGUCUAUGCGGUGCUCAGUGACCCAUUGCAACGCAUGGUUUAUGAUGAAAUUCAUGGCUAUGCAUUGACGGCAAUUAAUCCUUUCUUGGAUGAUUCUAGCCCCAAGGAUCACUCAUUUGUCGAUGAGUUUAGUUGCAUAGGCUGCAAAAAUUGUGUCAAUUUGGCCCCUGAUGUAUUUGGAAUUGAGGAAGACUUUGGAAGAGCCAGAGUAUAUAGCCAAUGUGGAAACCCUGAAUUAGUGCAACAAGCAAUUAACAGUUGGUAAUUUUCUUUCAUUCUUCUUCAUGGAUGUAGUUCGUGCAGAAGAUGUUGUGCUUGUAAACAAUACAAACUCUUGUGCAUGUUUUGAUUAUAUUGUUAUUGAUUCAUUUAAUUCAAGCUCUGAAGCAAGAAAAACACAAUUACCAAUAUCUGUGUUUAGUUUGAUAAAUAAUGUGUUUUUAAUUCCCUUGUAGCUAUUUUGGUUCACUUCAGUAUAGGGAGCAAAUUUAGAACAACAGCUAUGUUUCAUGCAAAACCUUAGGGGCUUUUGUAAUUAUUACUUUAUUUUUCAAAUUGGAUUGCGAUGUGGAGAGUUACCAGUAGUCAAGGUCUAUCCCCUCUAGGCUAGGAAGAUUAAGGGAAAUGAGGGAAUAGAGAUUAUCCCAUAUGGGUUAUCUCAUUAACCCUUAAUGCAAUCUCUUUUCCAAACAUUGAAAAUGGAAUGAGCAUUCCCAUCUUCUCUUGAUUUCCAUCCCUUUUUCAGCUGAACCAAUCGACCACAUAUUUGUUCGAAGCAAUUCUAUCACACCAAUUUUCAUUUUUCAUGCUUGCUAGUACGGCUUUUAAAAUCUUGCAAAGUAGUCCAGGUAUACAGUGUACUGUUCGAAGUAAUUUUCAGUUUUCAUGCUUGAGGUUUUGAGUGAUAUAAUCCAUAAUUUGCUGUCCUGCAGCCCAGUUGAUUGUAUCCAUUGGACUUCUGCUGCACAACUGUCUUUGCUUGAGGAUGAAAUGCGCAGAGUAGAAAGAGUGAAUGUAAGGCACACUUAUGUUAAAUAUCCAGCUUUUUGAUCUAAUACAAUUGUGUUUUUAAGUUUUUAAGCUACAAAGAUAGCAAAAUUCCAAUUGUUGGGAUUGGCUAGUGGCAUAUAAUGUGGAUGAAAUAAUACAUUUCUGAUUUUUAUUAUAAGAUAAUGUUAAUUCUAUGAAAAAUAGGAAAUAGCUAUGGCAUGGACAUGAUAAUCUAUUUCCUGGGUUUUUAGAAUUAAAACUCCGGCUGUUUUGAAUGAUGAUCAGGUUGGACUAAUGCUUUCAGGGAUGGGGUCAGCAUCAGUAGAUGUUUUCAGAAUGGUAAGAUAGGUACCAAUAUGGACUAUAUUUUCACUUUUCGUUACUAUUUUCUUUUGGCAUUACUAAGAAUCUCAUUCUCAUCACUUAACAAAGAGAAAGCUUUAUCAAUGGAGUAAAAGGUCAACCAUAAAGGAUAAAAUCAUCUAACUGGUCCUGCUACUCUAUUUCAUUUUAUUUAACAUUAUUCACAUACCUGUUGUAACUAAUUUUAAAUUAUUUGUGUGAUCAGGCAAAUUCCCGAUGGGAAAAAAGGCAAGCAAAAGUCCUGGUAGGAACUCUUACUCCUUAUGAUAAAUUUUACAAUUAGUUGCUCAACAGAAGGCUCGACUUUAGACCGUUUUCUUAACUUCAAGUUCGUUCCAAUUUCAUCACCCAAUUUUGAUUUCACGCACGACAUUCUAUCAAUCUCAUCACCAAAUUGCAGCAAUAUUGACCAAUUGUGGAGGUAACUAAAGUUGGAUGAUGAAAUUGGAGAUGGAAAAAUUGCAAUUGUGACUGACUGAACUCGAGCAACUCAAGCCCUAAAUUGAACUAUGCAAUUUACUAAAAUGUGGAUAGUUCAGGGAUUAAAUUGAAUCUAAAGGUCACAAUACAAUUUUGAAUAAUAACUUGGGGGCUUAUUAAGACUUUAGGAUCCAAGUUUACAGUAUAUCAUUUUCCAAAUCAACAUGUGAUAUUUCACACUUAGACAUAUGCAUAAUCAACAUGUUAACUUGAAGUAAAAUGACGUGAUUGCAGCCGAAGGUUCUCAAUACUAACUAUUUUACUAGAUGUGAUAAAUGAGGAUUCCUAAUUCUUGCAGGAGCAAGCUAAAAUAAGGAUCAUGAAGCAGAAAGAUUCCAAUAAAACUGAAUCAUACUGGGUUAAUAUUUGGGGUGAGCCAAAAGACUACAAAAAAUCAGGUAAACGCAUGAUGGUUAUUUGAGUUGAAAAUUUUGUUCAUAUCAAUUAUCGAGUUUACAUCCAAACGUAUUUGAGUUGAUUAUAAGAGGAAUUAAUUGAUUUCUAUAAAAAUACUUUGGUGUAUUCAAGUCAACUGAGUUUGUCUCUUAGAAAUUUGAUGUCAUGUUUGAAAUUUGAAUUGUGGGAUUAUGUCAUUUCCAAAAUUACAGCCAUUCUGGGAUUGUGUGCACCCAAAUGUGAGUGUAUUCCUCAAACUAAUUCAAGCUGAUAUGAUAUUUGCCGCAGAGGAGGAAGUGAAAGAGAGAGCUAGCAGAGCUGCUGCGGCAGCAAGAAAAUGGAGGGAGUACUCACAGAGGGGUGUUGAUAAGCCUCCUACUUUUAAACUUCCAGAGACAAUCUCCAACAACGAUAAAUGAUCGGUUCACUUGAUAUUGCUACUAAUUCGCCUACACCUACAAGUAAUUGAACAAUUCAGGAAGAUCUACUCCAAGUAAUGUAAAAUUCCUAUUGAAAAUUCGACUGUGUAUAUAUGAUUAAACGAAAUCCUAGUGAUCAAUAAAAAAAAAAAAAAGAUAUUUUACAGAAUAAAUAUUCUAGUUCACCAUUUUCACUCUUGCAAGUUGCAUCAGCGUAGAUGUGGUUUUGAUAGGUGUGACAUCUGAGUCGCUCAUUGCAAGUUUUAAAAUUGUUAUCCACAGAUGUUGUAACGAGGAU
rnacentral:misc_RNA from 1 species